rnacentral:lncRNA from 1 species
AAUUCAAAAAACAAAUUGUAAAAAAAAUAAUUCAUAUAUUCUUUUAUAGUUAUAAAUUUGAGAACGUGUAUAACUCGUUCUCAAUGAAUUACAAAUAUAAAGUUAAAAAUAAAUCACAAAACAGAGAAUCCAAGGUUUAUCCAUGAUCGUCUAUUUCUCUCGCCUAAAAUCUUAUCGCGAUCUUCCCAUUCACUCUCCCUUAUCACAGAUCUAAUUGCUCUUUCUCUCCAUCGUUUGUAGGUGUUGUUAUUCUCUCUUCUUCAUUGCUUUAGUGCUGUUGAUCUUCCUCUGUGCUACUGUUAUCUCUCUCUCGCUUCUGCUGCUCUCUCUUUGCGCUGCUGCUACUCGCUUCAUCGUUGUUAAAUCUGUGAGUUCUCUCUCCGUUAUUGCUGCUGCCUCUCAAAUAUGUUGUUCUCUUUUUAUGCUAUGCUCAUACUUGUGUUUCUCUGCUUGCUUAGUUGAGAAUUUUGUUUGAGACAUAAUUUUUUAAGAAUUCCAUUUGUUUUUUGAUUACUACUUUUCACCAUUUGGUUUCGGUGAUAUUCAGUUCUCUCUGUGAUAUGGUUUUUGGGAAAUUUCUUCCAUGUACCACUUGUUUUCAAUUGUCUUGUAGAACUCUUACAGUAGCAUGUCAAAAUAAUUUUUGCCCUUUUCAGUCUUUUUGUUGCCUUGUCCUUGUUUUAAAUUGUUUGUGGCAUGGUGUUUAUCUUCAGUAUUUUGUCUAUGGGUUCUUAUCUAGGAUUGCCUUGUCCUUGUUUUAAAUAUAAUUAUGUUUUUUUUGUUUCUUCACUAAAAUUUUUAUCUAGGAUUUUUCUCUUAAUUUUUUUUUGUUUUGGUUACAAAAUUCAAUCAUAAUUGAAAUUAUUGUAAUCCAAUGCAGGCCUAUGAGAGUAAUAAUCGACAAAUAUGACUGUGAAAUGAGUUUUAAGUUAAAAUGAGUACCUUGUUAAAGAAAUUCAAAAGCCACUUUUCAUUUCUUCACCAAACUUUUUCACCAUAAAGCCAAAAACAUAUAAGCUUUGCCAAAGUAAAGAGUGGAAUAUGUGUAAUUCUAGAAUUAUGAUAAAACGUUUUCUUAAUUUAUUUAGAUGAUAGUCAUGAAUAAGCCAAAAUUUAAGUAUUGCUUAUACAUUAGUUGGAUCCUCUUUCUGUCUCUGUUCCUUUUUUGCUAUGUUUAAUAGCCAUGGAAUCAUCUCAGCAAAUGGGGUAUUUUUUUCCUCCAUCCAUUAUGAAUUCUUAUCUUUGUGGCAACAUCAACAUCCAAUAACCACCACAGUCAUCAGUUGUCAGCUUAGCUUAACUGCCAUUAACAUAUUCUUUCAUCUCUAGUCUCUUAAUUAAGGCAAUUUAUUAUUUUUUAGCUCUUAUUAUGUAAAGAGCAAGCACCAUAUAUGGUGCAAUUUGGGGAUAGUACACAUUAUAUUGAAUGUGAGAUUAAUAUAAGUGCAGUUUCAUGAUUUUUUUUUUUAAACUUAAAAGCAUAGCUAAUCACUACUAGAAAAAUGGGCUACCAUAACAGAGAAUAUCUGUCAUCCGACACUCUUUAUGAUAGAGUUUCUAUACCGUGACAGUAAUUUAUCUAUCACAUGAGUUUAUGACAGAUUAUAGCUAUCACAAGCGUGUCACAAAAAAAGCGAUGUCGUUUUAAUAUUUUGGUGGUAAAUUUGUUUUAUUGUGAAAAAACUUUUGGUGGGUGUUAUGAAUUCAAUUUUAAAUUAUGACGGGUAAUUAUGUGUCGCAGCUUUAUGAUGUUAAUAUGGUGUCACGAUGAGAAUUUUUU